rnacentral:rRNA from 1 species
UACGAAGGGGGCGAGCGUUGUUCGGAUUUACUGGGCGUAAAGGGCGCGCAGGCGGCGCAUUUUGUCAGGCGUGAAAGCCCCGGGCUUAACCUGGGAACUGCGUUUGAUACGGAUGGGCUAGAGUUCGGGAGAGGAGAGUGGAAUUCCCAGUGUAGAGGUGAAGUUCGUAGAUAUUGGGAAGAACACCGGUGGCGAAGGCGGCUCUCUGGACCGAGACUGACGCUGAGGCGCGAAAGCGUGGGGAGCAAACAGG